UGGGAUGGUUUUCUGUAGAUACUGCAUGGAUUUUGAGAUCAUGAUCCCCUCUAUACGUGAAAGUAUUAUUUGGGAGAUAAUAUUCUCAUUAACUGACAGAGGAAAACAUUUACAAUGAAUUGUGUUUCUCAUAUUUCUGUGUUUUUCUCCAGUUUCUGUUGAACCAUCUCUUUCCACCAACUUUCUUAUUGAUUAACAUUGCUGGUCAGUGUUCUAGGAAAAACCUUUUGCUUCUAGUGUCUAGAAUCUGAACUCUAAAUACUUGGAAUCACUACAGAUUUCUCUCUACAUUUACCGCAUACAUUGUAAAUGGGAUGUUUCUGAAGCAUCUAUAAAUGGUGAGAUUAAUGGGAAGUGGUGAGAGGAAGAGAAUUCCAAGAUUUUGGAGGCACUCCAGUUUGCUUUAUGGAUAGAGUCUUUCUACACUAAUGAUAAGAGCAGUAGGGGAUCAGUUAAGAAAAUGGUUGGGUAAAAUACUGCAAGAAAAACUGCGUGUGGAGGAAAUAACUGCUCGAAGAAUACAAAGCAGCAUGCAAACAUUCUAUGAGACUGAAUGCAUCAGUAGAUUUGGAGUGCACGUUAGGACAGCACAGGACUGAAAACGAGGCUUGCAGAUAGCCUCUGAGGCCAACGGUCCACUUCAUCUUAAUUUAAAAAUGCAUCUGAAACCCUACCAAGACCCAGAUUACUUAAAAACAAUAACACACGUGAUCUCAUAUGGUCAUGUAGUGAUCAUGCAAGGUAAAGUACUGCUUUCAAUUCUAUUAUGAGAUACUAGUUUUCCUAAAUGGAAUUUCCUCUACAAUAAACUGAACAUUGGAAAGCAUGUUCUAUAGGCGAAGUAAAUCUAUGCUAACCUCCCUGCCCUAAUGAGGAUGGAUGAGAGGGAAAUGCCUGCACAUCUGAUGGCUUUACUACGGGCCCAUCUGUGGCCUUCACCUUUCUGAGCCUCAGUUUAGCUCUCUACCAAAUGAAACUGUUGAACUAAAUUAUAGUCUCAAGAUAUCAAAUUUCAGAAUCCAGUGAUCAAAGGGGAAUGACCAAAACAUUUAAAAUCGAGUGUGGUGAAGUUGGAACACCGCAGACUCCUCUCAAAUCUGUCAAGUUUGAUUUGAACAUUUCCGUACUUUAUUUGAAAUAUUCUUAGUCUUGUGAUGUAAGGAUGUCAUUUGUGUCUCCUGUGGUUUUUUCUUUAAAAUGCACUAUGUCCAGUAUGUUUAUCAUUGAGAAAUUACACUGUCAUAUUGUUGCUUGUGUUUCUAUUAACUGUGUUUUUAAAUUUUUCCCCCUCAAGGACUGAUUGCUGGUACUAUAAUUGGUACCCUAGUUCUAGUCAAAAUUAUCUGGGACUGUGGAAAAUCAGGCUCUUAUAACACACAUGCGAACAACAAAGCCCCAAUGUUGUCUUUCACCAAUUGACUGGUGGAGCCUCCACAGUAAGGACUUGGGGAAACACAAGUGUAGCGUUGAUACUUGUGCUUAUGACGCUAGUUAACAUGGGCUAGCCGAGAGCCAAAGAAGAGCUGGGAAGAAGAAGGUGCACACAAGUACACAGACGAUUUCUAGUUUCUUUAUGAAGUUAUGGAUGAGAUGACACAAUAUUGAAAUGUGCUCUUUGUUUUGCAUGGUCUCAUUGUCUUUAAGCCUCAUGAAUGUCUGUGAAGCCAGGGGGAAGUUUAUCCUGAAAUCACACUCUGAGUAUGUCAGAACCUCUUGAGAACAGAAGCGGUGGUUGAAGAGCUGUUGCUCUCCUCACUGUGGAGGGAGGGGCAGAGCCCGGCUCCUGGUUAGAAUAUAAUUAUGGGGAAGGGAAAUUCGUGGGAUUUUCAUUUGCGCUAGAUGAGUAGUUAUUUUUACUUAAAAAGAGAAAUCAAAAAGGAAAAACAUUAGUUGGAUCAUUUAAAACACACACACACCAGGAAUUGGAUACCAAUGAUUAACAAACAAACAUGAAUUGGAUACUAAAAACAAACCAAAAAAUUGAAACAGUCUCUUCUAAGCAAAUUUGCCGAAGACCCUGAAAUCCAUUAUAAAUCUUGAGUGUAAAGCACUUCCAUCUUUCCUUAUUCUUUUAAACAAGUCCAAAUGAGUUGGCAAAAUAUUUUAAAGAAAAUGCAUGCUAAUAACCCAAGAGUAUUGAGUUUCUUGGGGUAGUUGUUGGCAAGGGAGGAGCAUAGAUAAGAUUGUUUCUUCCUUUGUUACACAAAUACAGAUAAGGAACUCAGAAGAAGCCUAUUAGCUGUAAGAUGCUGUGCAAGUUUGCCCUUAGAACAAAGCAGUCUUCUUUGGCUUUAUGUAUUUUUUAUGUCUUUAAAAGUACCCAGAGAUUAUAUUAACAUAAGAAAAUAAUCUAUAUUUGCAAAGUGAGAUGUUCAUAGCAAAAUUGUAAAUCAUACUCUUUUGUAAUAUUAACAUUAAUUUAUUUA